UACGGGGGGGGCAAGCGUUGUUCGGAAUUACUGGGCGUAAAGGGCGCGUAGGCGGCCUGCUAAGUCGGAUGUGAAAUCCCUCGGCUCAACCGAGGAACUGCAUCCGAUACUGGCGGGCUUGAAUCCGGGAGAGGGGUGUGGAAUUCCCGGUGUAGCAGUGAAAUGCGUAGAUAUCGGGAGGAACAUCUGUGGCGAAGGCGACACCCUGGACCAGCACUGACACUGAGGCACGAAAGCGUGGGGAGCGAACAGG
rnacentral:rRNA from 1 species